rnacentral:rRNA from 1 species
GACGAACGCUGGCGGCGUGCCUAAUACAUGCAAGUCGAACGAACCGCGACUAAGUGCUUGCACUAAGUCAAGGUGAGUGGCGAACGGGUGAGUAACACGUGGGUAACCUACCUCAUAGUGGGGGAUAACAGUCGGAAACGACUGCUAAUACCGCAUAGGACAUAGGAUCACAUGAUCCAGUGAGGAAAGGUGGCGCAAGCUAUCGCUAGGAGAUGGACCCGCGGUGCAUUAGCUAGUUGGUAGGGUAAAGGCCUACCAAGGCGAUGAUGCAUAGCCGACCUGAGAGGGUGAUCGGCCACAUUGGGACUGAGACACGGCCCAAACUCCUACGGGAGGCAGCAGUAGGGAAUCUUCCGCAAUGGACGCAAGUCUGACGGAGCAACGCCGCGUGAGUGAAGAAGGUCUUCGGAUCGUAAAGCUCUGUUGUUAGAGAAGAACAGCGCAUAGAGUAACUGCUAUGCGUGUGACGGUAUCUAACCAGAAAGCCACGGCUAACUACGUG